UUUUUUUUUUUUUUAUACCCUUUAACGCAGAAACCCACGUAAAGAUUUCAAUCCACUUAAAUGGAUCUCCUGACAGCACAUCUGAUGCACUGUUUUUAGAUGAACAGCUGAGCAUUCCUCAGUGAUGGAGCGACCUCUGAUGGAGCUCGAGCUCACAGCGCGCUCACAGUCACAGCGGAUCUGCCCAGAGGCUCUUGACAGCCCGAGGCGCUUCCGACAGACUUCACCCUGGGCCAAAAACAUGAGCGAUACAUGGACAAAGGAGGACAAACAAGAUAAAAAAGUGUUCUCAGUGCCCGGGCCAGUCGAUAGAGUGAGCAGAACAAGACAGGGCAACCUUGAGCAGGUGUAAAGGACAAUUUCAAGAAAGACACAGGCUCCAGUGUGUGACCGAUCGUCUGUCACCCCCAGAGAGUCGGCUCUGCUUUCACCCAAUGCAGAGAUCAUCUAUCAGUUGCUGUCACAUGAGGACGUGUGUCUGUCACCCAUUCUCUGAUCCAGUAGAGGCAGCACAUCAGUCUGUUGAAGGCCUCAAGCACCCAUCACCCUGAACCCCAGCAGGCCAGUCACACUGUCUCACUCCCUCGAUUCUGCCUCUUCUCCUCCUGCACACCCCCCUCAGCCCUCCCUGGAGCCCCCAGGAGAGCGGGGAGAGGGAUGCAGGACCCUCGCCCAGGAGAUUUGCCUCACUCCUGGGAACCUGAGGGAGGAUCCUCUGCCAGCGCAAG